GAGCGUUACUAACAGCGUGUGGUGUUACCUAGCAACGCAGCAACAGCCAUCACGUGACCGUGUUACGUCCCUUCUCCUAUCAGGGCGAGCACAACGGCAAGGUGCUGCUGCUGGUGCUGGGAGGCCACACCAGGCCACUUCUCAAGCCCCAUCCCCUUCUGUCUCCCCCUCUCCAGCCCACUCCCCCUCUCCAGCCCACACCCCCUCUCCAGCCCACACCCCCUCUCCAGCCACCACCCCCUCUCCAGCCCAAUCCCCCUCUCCAGCCCAAUCCCCCUCUCCAGCCACCACCCCCUCUCCAGCCACCACCCCCUCUCCAGCCCAAUCCCCCUCUCCAGCCCACUCCCCCUCUCCAGCCCACACCCCCUCUUCAGCCCACACCCCCUCCCCCUCUGUGUCCCAAAAAACCACUCCACCACCCUCACCCUAUCAUUCCCAAACCCCCUCUGUAAGGACCUCCCCCUUCCACUCACAGAAUUAGACCCUCCUUCCCCCAUCCUGCCUCCUUCGCCCAUCCUGCACCCAUCCCUCAUCCAGCCAACCUCACCCAUCCAGCCUCCAUCCCCCAGCCAGACACCUUCGCCCCCAACGCAACUUGAGGGAGGUGGCCAAGUGGCAGAGGAGAAUGUUGCAGUUGGAGAACCCACCACUUUUGUGGCCAUUCUGGACAACAUGCGCCAACACCUGCAUGGCUUAAUGAGGUGUAUUGACCAGCUACAAAAAUUUUCUCGAUUUUUUUUUUUUGUGUUAAAAUUGUAUUUUUCUGUUUUUAAAUAAAAAAAAUAAAAAA